UACCAGAUAGCUCAGUUGGUAGAGCGCCUGAUUAUAGAGAUUCCGGGGACUCAGGUUUAAAUCCUGAUCUGGUCU
rfam:Crassostrea gigas strain 05x7-T-G4-1.051#20 contig22217, whole genome shotgun sequence.